CAUUUCACGUGUCUCAAUCAGUGCGCAUGCCUGUUGCUGUGCAGGUCAGUUGCAGCACAUGCGCGUUGCUGUCUGUGUGCCGUGUGCAGAGCUGAGGCGGAGGCCGUCGUGUUCCUUCUGUCUUGAUUCUUUCGGUUUGAGACGCUACUGGGUGAAAUAUGAGUGGGCGUGUAAAAUCAAGAUCCAAAUCUAAACAAAGAAGAGAUGAUGAAAAGUCUUCCCAGCAAAGUGAAACUGUGGUUGCCCAGCAGCCCAGUGAUGAGCAACUGAAACAAAAGGAGGCACCACCUGCGAGUCAGGGUAUGAUACCUGAUCAAGGGAAAGAAGAUAAAGGAGCACCUGUGGUUCAAGGUAAAGGGAAAGGGAAGAA